rnacentral:rRNA from 1 species
GAUGAACGCUAGCUACAGGCUUAACACAUGCAAGUCGAGGGGCAUCAGGAAGAAAGCUUGCUUUCUUUGCUGGCGACCGGCGCACGGGUGAGUAACACGUAUCCAACCUGCCCUUUACUCGGGGAUAGCCUUUCGAAAGAAAGAUUAAUACCCGAUAGUAUAAUGAUUCCGCAUGGUUUCAUUAUUAAAGGAUUCCGGUAAAGGAUGGGGAUGCGUUCCAUUAGGUUGUUGGUGAGGUAACGGCUCACCAAGCCUUCGAUGGAUAGGGGUUCUGAGAGGAAGGUCCCCCACAUUGGAACUGAGACACGGUCCAAACUCCUACGGGAGGCAGCAGUGAGGAAUAUUGGUCAAUGGGCGCUAGCCUGAACCAGCCAAGUAGCGUGAAGGAUGAAGGCUCUAUGGGUCGUAAACUUCUUUUAUAUAAGAAUAAAGUGCAGUAUGUAUACUGUUUUGUAUGUAUUAUAUGAAUAAGGAUCGGCUAACUCCGUGCCAGCAGCCGCGGUAAUACGGAGGAUCCGAGCGUUAUCCGGAUUUAUUGGGUUUAAAGGGAGCGUAGGUGGACUGGUAAGUCAGUUGUGAAAGUUUGCGGCUCAACCGUAAAAUUGCAGUUGAUACUGUCAGUCUUGAGUACAGUAGAGGUGGGCGGAAUUCGUGGUGUAGCGGUGAAAUGCUUAGAUAUCACGAAGAACUCCGAUUGCGAAGGCAGCUCACUGGACUGCAACUGACACUGAUGCUCGAAAGUGUGGGUAUCAAACAGG